CCAAGGUUCACUUCGAUUCAGAGGGUGCCCAGGGCUCCCAGGGCUCUUCCCAGACACCCUGACCAUUUGUAUUCACAUACCGAAUCAGAGCGUUCAGAGAGCAAUCAACCGCACACAGAUCCUCCACAUUUGCAGAACAGGUUUUAGGUGAUGAACGUGAAGCACAGACAAGCUAAGCAACUUAACCCUGAUUAGUGCUGAAGUAGUCCACACUCAGAACCCAGUUCCAGCUCUGAAACAUCUCAGCUAUGAAACGUUGGACAAAUGGCUGCAGCAUUCUGGGCUCCAACGUCCUCGUCUGCAAACAGUGAAGACAGCUCGUAGGAGUCACGCAUGUACUCCUCUAAACUCCCGUGAUGACUGUAAGAGAGCUCGCAGAUGUGCUUUAGCGCUUACACACCUCAUCCGUCUUCCUUC